UCCCAACGGAAACCACCUGCGCACUUACACGCACACAGCGAUACACCACCACUACUCUCCCCCAACAUACCCGUCCUUAUUGCUCAGACGUGUGCUACACGUUGAGAAAGAAGUAUCGAGGCUGAAAGAGGUGUACCGACUAGAGAAGAGUGAGGGCACGCUACCAGUCUCGUUUCGCUCUGGGCCUGAAUGUGAGCGUGGGCGCGCACCUGCCAUCUUGCCGCAUCGCCUCUCUGCGUGCACGUGCGGGACUUUUGCCCCUGCGCCCCCCCCCACUCCCUCACCGCACUCUUCCCUCCCUUCGGCGCUUUCUUUACUCAAUACAACAUCACGGUAACCACGCGCAAGCGUGAUCUUGUACGCCUCGUUUUCCUUUUUCUUUGUUGCUGUGCUUGGUCUUGUUGUGUCUGCGUCUCUUCACGACACGCGCACACUUAGAUUCGUCUCCCUUCUCCCCCCUCUCUCGUUGUCUUCUGCUGGCGUGUGUGUGCGAGCGCGUUUGUUGCUGUGCCUGUAUUCCGUCUCUUUCCUCACUGCCCUGGGGCCCGACCUCUGUCUGGCGUUACCGCGAGAGAGGGAGAAGGAGAGAGAGAGACGGAGAGAGGUUGCCUCCGACAGCGACAGCGGAAAAGCGUGAAGCAGGCUCCUACACGCACGCACCUGGGAAGCUGACAAAAAACUCAAAUAGCCCACCUUUUUGUUUCUGUGUUCAGGCGAGAUGCACAUCUACAGCAAAGACCAGCAGGCGUUUCACCUGCAGCGCACCCCGGCAGAGAAGUGGUGGUCGCGCGCGAACACGUUCAUUGUGGUUGUGCAGCUGGCGUGCUUUCUCUCCGUCGUCAUCCGCACCAUCGCGGGCGCAUCGAACUCGAUGUCGAACAGCUUCUUCACCAACUCGGUUCUCUCGCUCAAGGCGCCGUACAUUGUAGAUGGCUGCGUGUACAACGUGACCCGGCGCCACGCCUUCUUCAACAAUGUGCAGUACUCGCUGAGCAGAGAUAACGUCGGCUACUUUGUGAGUCGUGCUGUGCUGAACAUCCGCUACCUGAUUGCCCUCGCCGCCGCGCACGUGGUCGUGAGUGCGACGAACCGACUGUGGUUCGAGACGAACACACACGAAAUCCGUUAUCACUUCGUGGUCUUCCGCAAGGACAUGAUUACGACCUGGGAGAUCCUGCUGAUGGUGCUUAGUUUUGUCGUGACUCUCGGUAUUACGGAGGAAAACCGAAUCAUGACCGACUACAUCACCCACUGCGCCGCCAACAGGUCCACCAGCGGCCACUUUUACAACUCGGUACAACCGUACACAGAGCUCAUCGUGUCGUACAUCAUAUCCAUCUCUGCCACAGUGAUCAACGGGGCGUUUGCGGUUUGGAACUUGUCGAAGAAGAACCCGCUCGACCUCAUGCUGCGUGAGGCGAAGCGGCAGCAGGAAGAGUGGAGGCAGGCGAUGGAGCAGUACUACGGGCUGGGCAACUCGGACGCCACCACCGCCGCGCAGUCACAGGAACACGCCGGCGGCACACAGCCACAGGUAAUCUACGCCGACAACCGCGCCACCACCGUCAGCCCCAACGCAGACGCAGCAGCCGCGCUCCCUGUGAACGGCAACGAGUUAGUCAAGGCGGGUGAGGCAGACCCGCUACAGCGUCACCGCCACGGCCAUCACCACUCCACUCGCAAGGGACUCGGCCACCGCUUAAGUGCCAUCUCCUCAUCGCUGCGGCGGCGCUCGCACUCCGAGGAUGAAAUGAAGCUGAACGCGCCACAGCCGCCGCCGCAGUUCACCCCGUUGCCUCCUCAAAAGCAAGCGCACCUCCAGCAGCAGCAGCCGCACUUUGGCCCGAGCGUCAGCCGCCCGCUAACGCCGACCUUGAACGAAGAGUAUGACCAGGUGGAAAUGCCAGAGGUGCGGCAGCAGGGAGUGGGUGAAGGUGCCCUCGGUGACCGUGUAGGACCUACGGCUGAGAUGAUGGGCGGCCCCGGCGCCGUUAUAGAGUCCUCCAACUCCGGACGGUACGACUUGCACGAGGUUGAUGACGACGAGGACGAUGAGCGCGGUGCUGUCAUGGAGGCUGACAUCAAGAACAGCUCCCUGCGCGGUGGCCAGGCUUCCUAUAGCGUCGUAGGUGGUGCUGGCGGUGUGUCCGGCGGUCUUCGUGUCCGCGGCAUGAGUGGCUCGGAAGCGUCGACGGCGCUUGUGGCUGCCCACCUCGCCACCACACCGCCACCACCGCCCGUGCACAGCGGUGAUCGUCGGCAGCAGGCGCAGAUGAGCCGAGGCCAGAUGCUGGCACCGCCGUCUCCACUGCAGGGCGGGGCUGAGACGACAGACGACACAGUGCACCUGUAGUGUGGCCCGUAGGGGCAGAAGAGGAAAGGGUGGAAAGGUACGAGGAGAGGGGGGAGGGUGGCCGCGACAUCAGCAGGGGAUCGCACUCUGGGUAGGUGGCUUCGAUAGAUUUAGAGCAUCGUUCAUAGUGCCGAUGUGUUAGAGUAAACUGCUUGACGAUCGGGGUGUGCGUGUGCGUGCAUGUGUCUGUGUGUGUGUUUGCUGUCCCGUCAAGGCGCUGUACUUGCUCCAUGGAUGGUUCCCGCCCUCCUCCUCCUCUUCCUUUCUUUUUUCUGCCUCGCGCUACGACUCCCUGUGGAUUUGCGUAUGCCCCGCUUGCUGGUCCUCGUAUUUUUACCGGCAAUCGCACGGUGCGGUGGAUGAUGGGCGCUUUCCAGUGUUGUGUUGUGCUGGUGUAUGUGUGUAUGCUUCGCAGCAACUCCCGGCCGCCUGCCGCGGCACGGUCGCAAAGGCCGUGAUGCAUCGCCGUGCAUCCCUCUCCUCCUUCCGGAUCAGCCCUCGAGCUUGCUUUAUCGGUCUCUCUGAAGCGCGGUGCGUUGCGACGAGGUGUGAGCAACAGCCUUCCUCCGCCUCCUCUGGUGAUGCUGUGCGCAUGGCGAUGGCGAGUGGCAGUCUCUGCCCCCCCACCUUCUUGCUUGCCGCCUUCUUCAUGACGUCCCACACCGUCGCCCUCACUGGCGGGCGCAUGCCCAUUGUGUCGUUGCAUUCGACGGCGAUCCGCGUGCAAG
rnacentral:misc_RNA from 1 species